rnacentral:rRNA from 1 species
AUGUUGAGAUGUUGCCCCUCCUCAUGGAGCCGCUUCCACCCAUGGUUCCCGAGGCCGCCGCCUCGACGCACAAACAUCAAACAUCCGAGCCGCCGCCUCGACGCACAAACAUCAAACAUCCGGGCCGCCGCCCCGACAUCCACCAACCUCAACGACAAGAACGGCGCAAACAUCUGCAUCUGGCUCUCCAAGGCGACGCCUCCAAGGAGGAUGCGACGUAGCCGCUCCGAGAGAUCAGAGCUAGGGAUUUCUCCCGGAGAGCCCAUCCGCCACGGGGUGGAAAGAGGCUCCACGACCACGCCUCCAAUGAGGAAAAUGGCAUCGAGGUGCCACCGUUGUCGGCACCAACCGAGGUCGGGCAGAUCUCAUCCACAAACCCGAGAAUGGCGAGGUUGCACGACCAGAUCUGGGCACCGGAGCGCCAAGAUGGCCGGAGCAUGCAGCAUGUCGCAAACGCCCUGGUCGAAGCCCACCAAUCUGCAUCUCGCGUCAUGUCCUCCGCAGCACCUCUCGCUACGUCGGCCGAAACACCACCACCGGUCAUGGAUCCGCGCAGUAACCGCCAGAUCCAGGCACCACAGCUCCCUGCCGGCAAGAACCAGCAACAUCGAGCCCGAGGCCGCCGCCCCGGCGUCCUCCACUCCAUCCGCAGCAGCCAUGGAGCCCUGCACCCGCUGGACGGACAGGAGAAGCCAGAUCCGGCCGAGUCCGACCAAAUCCAGCCCUCCCCACCCGCCUCCUCCUCACAACCGCCGCCAUAGCCCUACCGGAGAUGCGCGAGGCCGCCGCGCCGGCAGCUGUCGACCCCCACUGCGCAUCGCGCCGCCGGCAACUGGAUCGGGCGCCGCCGGCCGAAGCUCCCACCGAAAGAGAGCUGAGCAACGGAGAAGGCCCCGCCGCCGCCACCACCACGCGGGCUUUGCCCGGAGGUGGCCACCGGCGGCGGCGGCGGCGGGGGAGGAGCAGGUGGAGGGAGCUGCUGGCGGCGGGGGACCGAGUCGCCGCCCGUGUCGCCUAAGCUAG